CAGAACAUAGCUAAAAUAGAACAGCAUCUCCCUUACACUGAGAAGUUGUCCGUGCAAGUCGGACUGCUCUGA
rnacentral:tRNA from 1 species